GUGUAAGUAGGCUGGCCUGUGAUGUCACUGCCAGAAGCACAGGUCUUCCUACACACUCCCCCUAAUGGUGCCCCCAAAGCAUUACACUAAAUAUGCUUUACUGACAUCUAGUGGUGCGUCUAAAGCAUUAAGCUCAUUAUGCUUUUUUUUAUGACAAAAAGUCAUUAAUUAAUAAAUACCAUUACAAACCACCCUUUGACUUAUGUCAUAAAACAAACAUUAUAAACCCGUACAUCUACCCUAUUUUAACAGUACCUGCCCUACAACAAAACCCACCUUUUUAAGAAUGAUACCCAUUUACCCGUAAAGUUAUGACACUUUAUUGCUUAU